rnacentral:rRNA from 1 species
AUUGAACGCUGGCGGCAGGCCUAACACAUGCAAGUCGAGCGGAGCGGCGGACGGGUGAGUAAUUACUAGGAAUAUGCCUGGUAGUGGGGGAUAACGUCCGGAAACGGGAGCUAAUACCGCCUACUAUCAGAUAGGCAUAGGUCGGAUUAGCUGGUUGGUGGGGUAAAGGCCUACCAAGGCGACUCUCCGGCACUGGUCUGAGAGGAUGAUCAGUCAAACUGGAACUGAGACACGGUCCAGACUCCUACGUGAGGCAGCAGUGGGGAAUAUUGGACAAUGGGCGAAAGCCUGAUCCAGCCAGGCCGCGUGUGUGAAGAAGGUCUUCGGAUUGUAAAGCACUUUAAGUUGGGAGGCGUUACCAACAGAAUAAGCACCGGCUAACUUCGUGCCAGCCGCCGCGGUAAUUC